CCUACGGGGUGCUGCAGUGGGGAAUAUUGCGCAAUGGGCGAAAGCCUGACGCAGCGACGCCGCGUGAGGGAUGAAGGUCUUCGGAUCGUAAACCUCUGUCAGCAGGGAAGAACGGUCACUGUGCUAAUCAGCAGUGAAUUGACGGUACCUGCAAAGGAAGCACCGGCUAACUCCGUGCAAGCAGCCGCGGUAAUACGGAGGGUGCGAGCGUUAAUCGGAUUUACUGGGCGUAAAGCGCUCGUAGGCGGUAUGUCAAGCCAAGGGUGAAAUCCCCGGGCUCAACGUGGGAACUGCCUUUGAAACUGGCAAACUGGAGUGUGGGAGAGGAUAGUGGAAUUCCAGGUGUAGGAGUGAAAUCCGUAGAUAUCUGGAGGAACAUCAGUGGCGAAGGCGACUAUCUGGCACAUAACUGACGCUGAGGAGCGAAAGCGUGGGUAGCAAACAGGAUUAGAUACCCCUGUAGUC
rnacentral:rRNA from 1 species